AAAAAUGCACAUAUUGUGAGCUCGAUGAGUAGGGCGGGACACGUGGUAUCCUGUCUGAAUAUGGGGGGACCAUCCUCCAAGGCUAAAUACUCCUGACUGACCGAUAGUGAACCAGUACCGUGAGGGAAAGGCGAAAAGAACCCCGGCGAGGGGAGUGAAAAAGAACCUGAAACCGUGUACGUACAAGCAGUGGGAGCACGCUUAGGCGUGUGACUGCGUACCUUUUGUAUAAUGGGUCAGCGACUUAUAUUCUGUAGCAAGGUUAACCGAAUAGGGGAGCCGAAGGGAAACCGAGUCUUAACUGGGCGUUAAGUUGCAGGGUAUAGACCCGAAACCCGGUGAUCUAGCCAUGGGCAGGUUGAAGGUUGGGUAACACUAACUGGAGGACCGAACCGACUAAUGUUGAAAAAUUAGCGGAUGACUUGUGGCUGGGGGUGAAAGGCCAAUCAAACCGGGAGAUAGCUGGUUCUCCCCGAAAGCU
rnacentral:rRNA from 1 species